UACGUAGGCAGCGAGCGUUGUUCGGAGUUACUGGGCGUAAAGGGUGCGUAGGCGGUUGUUUAAGUUUGGUGUGAAAUCUCCCGGCUCAACUGGGAGGGUGCGCCGAAUACUGAAUGACUAGAGUGCGGGAGAGGAGAGUGGAAUUCCUGGUGUAGCGGUGAAAUGCGUAGAUAUCAGGAGGAACGCCGGUGGUGUAGACGGCUCUCUGGACCGUAACUGACGCUGAGGCACGAAAGCGUGGGUAGCAAACAGG
rnacentral:rRNA from 1 species